rnacentral:rRNA from 1 species
AUUGAACGCUGGCGGCAUGCCUUACACAUGCAAGUCGAACGGCAGCACGGGUGCUUGCACCUGGUGGCGAGUUGCGAACGGGUGAGUAAUACAUCGGAACAUGUCCUGUAGUGGGGGAUAGCCCGGCGAACGCCGGAUUAAUACCGCAUACGAUCUACGGAUGAAAGCGGGGGACCUUCGGGCCUCGCGCUCUUGGGUUGGCCGAUGGCUGAUUAGCCAGUUGGUGGGGUAAAGGCCUACCAAGGCGACGAUCAGUAGCUGGUCUGAGAGGACGACCAGCCACACUGGGACUGAGACACGGCCCAGACUCCUACGGGAGGCAGCAGUGGGGAAUUUUGGACAAUGGGCGAAAGCCUGAUCCAGCAAUGCCGCGUGUGUGAAGAAGGCCUUCGGGUUGUAAAGCACUUUUGUCCGGAAAGAAAUCCUUGGCCCUAAUACGGUCGGGGGAUGACGGUACCGGAAGAAUAAGCACCGGCUAACUACGUG